UUCAGAACGCUAUUCAUUUACUGAUUAACUUACUUCAUGGCUGAGUAGUCCUGCAGGGUCGUGCUGUACUAAUGACCAGAGCAGAGGAACUGAAUGCAAACCAAUCAGAAACACCCCUUGUGGAGCUCCGCCUGCAGAACUUCAACUUCCAGCCAUC